rnacentral:tRNA from 1 species
UAGUUUUCGUAGUUGAAGUACAACGGUGGGUUUUCAAGCCACUAGUCUCGGUUAGAGUCCGGGUGGGAAUU